rnacentral:lncRNA from 1 species
CUGGAGUUGGUGCCCUUUAACACUGAGCUAUAUUAACAGACAGGCUCUGAGACUCUAAUGCCCUCAAUAUGCAGUUUCGGUUUCUAGGGAAGAGUCCUGAGAGUCCCAAGGAGCCAUUUGGGAUCUGCCGGAGCAAGAACAACGGCGUGAAGAGCUAAAAGCGAUUCCAAGGAAAUGUAGCAGAAGUGUCAGUCCAGCUGCACUCAUGUCCUGGCAAAAGGGACAGACCGAGCCGGCUGCUUCCCCAUGUGCUCUGGUGCUGGUCUCCCACCGGGACACAGAGCAGGGCCGGGGCUCCAAGCACUGCUUUAGGGUCUCCCAGAAGUGCAAGGAAGCCUCACGCGAUGCCUGAUUCAGAAGUAGGCUGCUACCAGGCAGCUUUGUGCAUUUGGUGGCUUCCUUGGAAACUCAUCAAACGCUUGGCACAAACGCGUCCCUCCUCCAGUGACAGGAGCUCACACUUCGGCAAGCAUCAAACUGCUCUGAAAUGUGAUAACGGCGUCUGUCAAUUUCUGCACACAGAGUGCUGUUUUCUGCAGCGGGACUGUUUGUCUUGGCCUUCUGGAGCUGUAGGAGCUUUCAGACCCCCUACUCCUUGGAGCAAGGUGCUGCUGCAAUGGGGUGAGCGCGGAGCAAACAUUGAAAGGCUUUGAGCUGGGAGCUCAGUGGACCCUCAGAGCUCAUGGAGGACCUGACAAGGGUUCUCUUAGAAAGGGGCUAAUGGAAAUGUCCUUUAGGAAAGGUGAGGAUUCUUCCUGCUGGAUGCCGUGAAGAUUAAGGAUGACGGAG